CCUACGGGGGGCAGCAGUGGGGAAUAUUGGACAAUGGGGGCAACCCUGAUCCAGCCAUGCCGCGUGUGUGAAGAAGGCCCUCGGGUUGUAAAGCACUUUCAGUGAGGAAGAACGCCUGGUGGUUAAUACCCAUCAGGAAAGACAUCACUCACAGAAGAAGCACCGGCUAACUCCGUGCCAGCAGCCGCGGUAAUACGGAGGGUGCGAGCGUUAAUCGGAAUUACUGGGCGUAAAGCGCGCGUGGGUGGCUUGAUAAGCCGGUUGUGAAAGCCCCGGGCUCAACCUGGGAACGGCAUCCGGAACUGUCAAGCUAGAGUGCAGGAGAGGAAGGUAGAAUUCCCGGUGUAGCGGUGAAAUGCGUAGAGAUCGGGAGGAAUACCAGUGGCGAAGGCGGCCUUCUGGACUGACACUGACACUGAGGUGCGAAAGCGUGGGUAGCAAACAGGAUUAGAUACCCUGGUAGUC
rnacentral:rRNA from 1 species